GGAAAGACAAACACGGAGACGGGGAGAAAGGAUUAUUUUCUCAUGGGCACGGGAAUACGAGCGGAUAUCCAGGGCAAUACCCCCCUCAAGGGUACCCUCCUCAAGGGUAUCCCCCAGCACCAGGGGCGUAUGGUCAUGAAGGGUACCCCCCACAAGGGUACCCCCCUUCUGGAUAUCCCCCUGCCGGUGGAUACCCGCCAGCAGGCUAUCCUGGUUCCCAGCACGGGCAUGGAGGAGGGCACGGAGGACCGGGCAUGGGAAUGAUGUUAGGGGGGGGUGCAGCAGCUGCAGCACUUGCAUAUGGCGCACAUCAAAUGACUUCUCAUCAUGGCGGUGGUGGACAUGGCGGCGGUUUUCUCGGACACGGAGGGUCACAUGAAAUGUCACAUGGUGGAGGUUACGGAGGUUAUCCUGGGCAUGGAGGGUUCUCAGGACAUGGAGGUUAUGCUGAACAUGGCGGUCACGGUCAUGGCGGUCAUGGCCAUGGCAAGUUCAAGCAUGGAAAGUUCAAGCAUGGAAAGCACGGCCACCAUGGCAAGUUCAAGCAUGGAAAGUUCAAGCAUGGAAAGCACGGCCA
rnacentral:misc_RNA from 1 species